GGUAAAGUGGCUGAGUAGGGCAUUGGACUGUAAAUCUAAGAACGGGGGCGGAUUGUCCCUCUUUACCA
rnacentral:tRNA from 1 species